AUACGGAAGGUCCAGGCGUUAUCCGGAUUUAUUGGGUUUAAAGGGAGCGUAGGCCGUCUGUUAAGCGUGUUGUGAAAUGUAGAUGCUCAACAUCUGAAUUGCAGCGCGAACUGGCAGACUUGAGUGUGCGCAACAUAGGCGGAAUUCGUGGUGUAGCGGUGAAAUGCUUAGAUAUCACGAAGAACUCCGAUUGCGAAGGCAGCUUACGGGGGCACAACUGACGCUGAAGCUCGAAAGUGCGGGUAUC
rnacentral:rRNA from 1 species